UACGGAGGGCGCAAGCGUUACUCGGAAUCACUGGGCGUAAAGAGCGUGUAGGCGGAUUAAUAAGUUGGAUGUGAAAUCCUAUGGCUCAACCAUAGAACUGCAUCCAAAACUGUUAAUCUAGAGUAUGGGAGAGGUAGAUGGAAUUUCUGGUGUAGGGGUAAAAUCCGUAGAGAUCAGAAGGAAUACCGAUUGCGAAGGCGAUCUACUGGAACAUUACUGACGCUGAGACGCGAAAGCGUGGGGAGCAAACAGG
rnacentral:rRNA from 1 species